GGGGAUAUAGUAAAACGGUAUUACGCGCCCUUCGCAUGGGCGAGGUCCGGGUUCGAUUCCCGGUAUCUCCA
rnacentral:tRNA from 1 species